GAUUAACGCUGGCGGCGUGCAUAACACAUGCAAGUCGAACGAUGAAACUUAGUAGACUUCUUCGGAAAGACAUUAAGCGGAUUAGUGGCGAACGGGUGAGUAACGCGUGAGUAACCUGCCUUACACAAGGGGAUAGCCUUUGGAAACGAGGAAUAAUACCCUAUAAAACCAUAAAAGCACAUGCUAGAAUGGUCAAAGUGAUAGCGGUGUAAGAUGGACUUGCGUCUGAUUAGCUAGUUGGUGAGAUAAAAGCUCACCAAGGCAACGAUCAGUAGCCGGCUUGAGAGAGUGUACGGCCACAUUGGGACUGAGACACGGCCCAGACUCCUACGGGAGGCAGCAGUGGGGAAUUUUGCACAAUGGGGGAAACCCUGAUGCAGCGACGCCGCGUGAUUUAGAAGGCCUUCGGGUUGUAAAAAUCUUUUGUAUAGGAAGAAAAUGACAGUACUAUACGAAUAAGGUCCGGCUAAUUACGUG
rnacentral:rRNA from 1 species